UACGUAGGGUGCGAGCGUUAAUCGGAAUUACUGGGCGUAAAGCGUGCGCAGGCGGCUUUGCAAGACAGAUGUGAAAGCCCCGGGCUUAACCUGGGAACUGCGUUUGAAACUGGGAGACUUGAGUGUGGCAGAGGGGGGUGGAAUUCCACGUGUAGCAGUGAAAUGCGUAGAUAUGUGGAGGAACACCGAUGGCGAAGGCAGCCCCCUGGGUCAAGAUUGACGCUCAUGCACGAAAGCGUGGGGAGCAAACAGG
rnacentral:rRNA from 1 species